UAAAUACAUACACACACACACACAAAAGGUCAACAUGGAUGUAAAAACAGAUCUCACACACUCUCUCUCUCUUACACACUCACACACUCACACACUCUCUCUCUCUUACACACACACACACACACUCACCCAGUGUUUGCAGUGUUUACACACUCUCACACUCCAUCACACAGUCACCACCCCAACAGUGAUCUUUGAUGAGCGUGUGUGUUGUAGCCCCCCCACACACACACCCUAAAGCUUUAACCCCCUCCACACACACACACACAUCCUAAAGCUCUGUGUGUGUGUCUGUCUGUGUGUGUGUGUGUGUGUGUGUGUGUGAACGUGUGUAUGGUGUGUGUCUCUGUGUGUAUAGUGUGUGUUUGUCUGUGUGUCUCUGUGUGUGAAGGUGUGUAUGAUGUGUGUCUGUCUAUGUGUGAAGGUGUGUAUGGUGUGUGUAUGUAUGGUGUGUGCGUGCGUGUGUGUGUGUGUGUGUGUGUGUGUAUGGUGUGUGCGUGUGUGUGUAUGGUGUGUGUGUGUGUGUGUGGUGUGUGUGUGUGUGUGUGUGUGUGUGUGUGUGUGUGUGUGUGUGAAGGUAUGUGCUGAGCACACGGCUCUGUCACCUGGGGCACAGCUGAUCUCCUCAAGAACUCUUCAACCCUCCGCCUCAAGUUGAACCCCUCAUCCCUCUCUCUCUCUCUCCUCUCCCUCUCUCUUUCCUCUCUCUCUCCCUCUCUCCCUCUCUCUCUUUCCUCUCUCUCUCUCUUUCCUCUCCCUCUCUCUUUCUCUCUCUCUCCUCUCCCUCUCUCUUUCUCUCUCUCACUCCUCUCUCUCUCUCUUUCUCUCUCUCACUCCUCUCUCUCUCUCCCUCCCUCUCCAUCUCUCUCUCUAUCUCUCUCUCUAUCUCCCUCUCUCUCCUCUCCCUUUCUCUUUCUCUCUCUCUCUCUCUCUCUCCCUCUCUCCUCUCCCUCUCUCUCUCCCUCUCUCUCACUCCCUCCCUCUCUCUCUCUCUCUCUCCUCUCCCUCUCUCUCUCUCUAUCUCUCUCUAUAUAUCUAUCUCUCUCACUCCCUUCCUCUUUCUCUCUCCCUAUCUCUCUCUCUCUCUAUCUCACUCCCUCCCUCUCCAUCUCUCUCUCUAUCUCUCCCUCUCUCUCUCUAUAUAUAUCUCUCUCUCACUCCCUUCCUCUUUCUCUCUCCCUAUCUCUCCCUCUCUCUCUCCUCUCCCUCUCUCUCUAUCUCUAUCUCCCUCUCUCUAUCUCCCUCUUUCUCUCUCUCUCUCUGCCUCUUGUGUGUGACAGUGUGGCCAAAGCAAUGCGAUGAACCUACAAUACAACAACAUGUAAUACAGAAACAUAAUUCACAUGGAACAGUGGAAUUGAUAUUAAUAUUAUGUAACAACAACAAC
ensembl:lncRNA